rnacentral:miRNA from 1 species
UAUUAGAUUGGUGCAAAAGUAAUUGCAGUUUUUGCCACUACUUUUAAUGGCCCACACUGCAAUUACUUUUGCACCAAUCUAA